UAAUUGAAGAGUUUGAUCAUGGCUCAGAUUGAACGCUGGCGGCAGGCUUAACACAUGCAAGUCGAGCGGUAGCACAGGGGAGCUUGCUCCCUGGGUGACGAGCGGCGGACGGGUGAGUAAUGUCUGGGAAACUGCCUGAUGGAGGGGGAUAACUACUGGAAACGGUAGCUAAUACCGCAUAACGUCGCAAGACCAAAGAGGGGGACCUUCGGGCCUCUUGCCAUCAGAUGUGCCCAGAUGGGAUUAGCUAAAUAGCUGCGCCUAAUACCGCUACACUUUUGCCUGACCAUGUUUUCCUCCGGGGAAUGGGCUGGCGGUUUCCAUAAAAUGGCGGACC
rnacentral:rRNA from 1 species